GGGUCUGUAGUUUAGUGGUAAAAUUUCGGUCUCCAAAACCGAAGUCCCUGGUUCAAGUCCAGGCGGACCCGCAA
rnacentral:tRNA from 1 species